UCCUGCUGUCUCUCCCAAGUCUUGUG
rnacentral:piRNA from 1 species